UGGGGAAUAUUGCACAAUGGGCGCAAGCCUGAUGCAGCCAUGCCGCGUGUAUGAAGAAGGCCUUCGGGUUGUAAAGUACUUUCAGCGAGGAGGAAGGCGUUGUGGUUAAUAACCGCAACGAUUGACGUUACUCGCAGAAGAAGCACCGGCUAACUCCGUGCCAGCAGCCGCGGUAAUACGGAGGGUGCAAGCGUUAAUCGGAAUUACUGGGCGUAAAGCGCACGCAGGCGGUCUGUCAAGUCGGAUGUGAAAUCCCCGGGCUCAACCGGGGAACUGCAUCCGAAACUGGCAGGCUAGAGUCUUGUAGAGGGGGGUAGAAUUCCAGGUGUAGCGGUGAAAUGCGUAGAGAUCUGGAGGAAUACCGGUGGCGAAGGCGGCCCCCUGGACAAAGACUGACGCUCAGGUGCGAAAGCGUGGGGAGCAAACA
rnacentral:rRNA from 1 species